GACGAACCGUGCGAACGUUGUUCGGAAUCACUGGGCUUAAAGGGCGCGUAGGCGGGCGGUCAAGUCAGAGGUGAAAUCCCACGGCUCAACCGUGGAAGUGCCCCUGAUACUGAUCGUCUCGAGGGAGGUAGGGGCGUGCGGAACUUCCGGUGGAGCGGUGAAAUGCGUAGAUAUCGCUUGGAACGCCAAAGGUGAAAACAGGUUGCUGGGGUUGUGCCGACGCUGAGACACGAAAGCCAGGGGAGCAAACGGG
rnacentral:rRNA from 1 species